GGAGCGUGUAAGUGUGUGCGUGUGUGUGUAUGUGUGCAGUGAAGUGCAAAAGAAACACGAUAAAAAAAAAAAACAACACGCCAAGCAGUUGCGCCCGUUUUAGCUGAUAAAGCGUAUAGAAAAAAAGUACAACAACAACAACAACACACAAAGCAGUAGGCACGAAACGAGUGAAAAUAGAAAAUUAAUAAUUAGCUAGAAGAAGCAGCAGCAGCAUUCACACAGGCGAUUUGUAAGUGAUCAGUGCUAAAAAAAAAAAAAGAAAAAAAACGUAAAUGAAAAAUUAAAAUAACAAAUCGUGCAACUUUUCCCAUAAAUAGUGCAAAUCAAAAUUCUCGGUGCAGCGGCCAAAUUUGUAUCGAUCGCACACAGCAACAAAAACACAUACAAAUACAACUACAGCUACAACUACAAAUACAAUAACAAAAGCAACAACAAUAACAAAUCGCACAUCAGAUUUUCAAACUGCAACUGUUGGCGCCUCAAGCGCCGUUAUUUAAUACCGCAAAUCCGUCAAAAUGUCAACAAUGGAGGUGCGCAACAACUCGGCCAUGAUGAAGCGUGCCGAGCAGCUGAAGCGCUGGGAGGAGUCGGACACAAAUCGCGCCGCCCCCACGCCUCGUCGCGAGGACUGUCGCAGCAUCAAGUUUAGCUCCGGCUGCGUUUUUCUCGCCGCCUGCCUCUCCGGCGACAAGGAGGAGGUCGUCCAGCUGCUCAAUCAGGGCGCCGACAUUAACACGGCCAAUGUUGAUGGCCUCACCGCUUUGCAUCAGGCCUGCAUCGAUGACAAACUCGACAUGGUUGAGUUUUUAAUAGAGCACGGCGCCGAUAUCAAUCGGCAAGACAACGAGGGCUGGACGCCGCUGCAUGCAACCGCCUCCUGCGGCUUUGUCAGCAUAGCAUGCUAUCUGGUGGAGCACAACGCCGAUGUGGCUGCCGUGAACAGCGAUGGCGAUCUGGCGCUGGACUUGGCUAUCGAUGUGCAGCACAUGCCCAUGAUUAACUAUAUGGAAAAGGUGGUGCAGGAGCUGAAUAUUGAUGUGGAUCAGGCACGUAGGGCCGAGGAGCAGGCCAUGCUGAAAGAUGCCAAGCGCAGCGAUGCGGCCGAAGUGGAUCAGCCGCAUCCAAAAACUGGUGCAACGGCGUUGCAUGUGGCCGCCGCCAAGGGCUAUACGAAAGUGCUACGUCUAUUGCUGGCCCGUGACUGCAAUGUUGAUAGGCAGGAUAACGAUGGCUGGACACCAUUGCAUGCUGCCGCACACUGGGGCCAAAAGGAGACAGCUGAAAUGCUGGUGGAGGCCCUGGCCGAUAUGGAUAUACCCAAUUAUGCUGGCCAAUCCUGCAUCGAUGUGGCCGAUCGCAAAAUGGUCAAAUUCCUUGAAGAGCUGCGCGCCAAUAAGCGCAACAAACGGCGUCCAUCUAGUCAAAUCAGCAGAAUCUCAGAUGCGAUUGAAAAUCAUGUGGACAAAACACGAAUGAAACUCGUACGCGUCGAAGUGAGAACUGAUGCCGCUAAGGAUGCUGCGAGCGGUUCGCUUAACGCCAGCGAUCAAGUUGCGCUAAAUGAUGAUGAUGUUGCUGCCACAGUUGUUACUGCUGCCCAGGAUCAUAAUGAUGUUGAUGAUAAUGAUGAUGUUGAUGUUGAUGUUGAAAGCGAUUCAGAGCUGAGCGAUUCGACAGAGAGCUCACACAGCACAAGUCUAUCCGAGAGCGAAGCUGAAAAUGUUAAACCCAAUCAGCAUAUACAUGCUGGCGAGCAUUCUGCCGAGGAGGAGGCGCCCUGGCGACGCAAAACUCUGCGCACGCCCAACGACAGUCCCACUAAGAAUCAAGUUCCUGACAAAGAGCUGAGCGGCAAAAGCGCUAAUGAGAGCGCAAACGAUGUCAUCUUGCGGCGCACGCAAAGCUUUGAGAAUGAUCAAAAGAAACCAAUCGCUCCAGCUACGAUGCUGACAGCAGCGACAACAACGACUACAACAACAACAACGACGCUCAGCUCACCAUCAACAACUGUGCUCACCCCACCUAUACGCAGCAAUCCUGCCAACAACAACAACAAUGCCAGCUCUAUGGCGAGCGCCAGUGCAAGCGAUGCGGAGACCCAACCAAAACCCAAGCAAUCGGCGGGCAAUAUAUUCAAGAACUUUUUCAAAUCCUUUGUGCCGCCAGUGCGCGACGAGGAGAGCGAAACGCAGCGCAAGGCGCACGCGAAACGAGUCCGUGAGACGCGUCGCUCCACGCAGGGCGUUACGCUCGAGGAGAUCAAGAGUGCCGAGGAGCUGGUCAAGAAGAAGAACUUGGGCAUGAACAACAACAACAACAAUAACAACAACAACAGCAGCAGCUUCAAGCUGGAGGACAUCACCAGCGGUGGCACCUACCCGCCCAAUCAGAGCACAAUCAUACCCAGCGCACCGGCCGUGAUGGCCGCGGUUAAUUUGGCCAGCACAACGGGCAACCCGCGUCGCAUAAGCAGUGGACCCAAUGCGCUUAACGCUUCCAAUCAAUCGCUCAACUCGGUGGGUCGUCCGGUCUCAGCACCCAGCGAGAGCAGCAAUAACAGCGCAUAUGUGACGCCGCCGGCGCGUAGAUACGAGACAUCCACGCUGGGGACAGCUGCCUCGACAACAGCCACAACAACUGCCACGACAGCCACCAACUCCGCGUCUGCAUCCAGUGCCAACCAUGGAACGGCGACUAGCUCCACGCCCGGCCAUGAUGAUAAGGAUAACGACAAGGAGAACGAUAAUCGUACACAGACUGUUAUUCAGCGACGUCGCAAGCCCAAGCGCAGAUCCACGGGCGUGGUGCAUAUCGAUAUGGAUGAAAUUGAUCCGGAACGCCAACACGAAACGGCCAACAAUGACAAUGAGGAUAAGGAUAAGGAGAGCGGCAGUGAACGCACCUCACGCUCUCGCACCGCGAGCACAGCGACAACGAGCACCGGCAGCGAUUCAAAGAGUUCCAGCAACAACGACAAAGCGGAAAACGGCGAUGGCAUCGACUACAAGGCGCUCUGGGAAGCGGCCAAACUGGAGAACGAUAAGCUCAAGCAAAUGCUCAAGCAGAAGGACGACGAAGCUGUACAGACGCGUGCGACGCUCGAGCGCUUCGCCAAUGCCACCACUAAAAAUUCACUCUCUGAGAUUGAGAAACGUGAAAGAAGAGCUAUGGAACGCAAGCUUUCCGAAUUGGAAGAAGAGCUCAAGCUAUUGCAGAAGCUAAAGACUGAGAACGACCGCCUGCGUGCCGAGAAUCGAGCCCUCACGCGUGUCGUCUCUAAGUUGACCACCUCGGCCCAGAGUCAGCUGGCCAAAAGCAAAUAGGCAACAAUUUACAACAAACAAAAGAAAUAAACAAAAAAAUAAAAAAUAGAAUAUCCUAAAAUAUUGAAAAAACAGCAUAAUCGAAUAUCGUAAUCGUAAUCGUAAUCGCAAACGCAAACCGCUAUCGUAAUCGUAAUCGUAAUCGUUAUCGUUUCUUUAAAUACUCGAGCUGCACACAUAUAUUUACAUACGUACACGCAUACCUAGUUAAAUUCUUAGAUAUCGUACACCCAUCGUCUAGCCUAGAGAUAUUCAGAAACCAUUUUGAUGAACAACUUUAAAGAUUCUUCCACCAUCGAUAUUGUUUAUUAUCAUUAUCAUUAUUAUUAUUAUGAGACAAACAACAACAAGAACAAUUUGCAUUGUUAUAUUGAGCGCAACGUGUAACAAUAAUUAAAUGUACUGUAGUUAAAUUAAGUUUAUAACUUUUGGGGGCAACGAGCACUUAGCAGGCAAAUUUCUAUUUUUGCACCGCUGUACUUUUAGCCCAGAGCAAAAUAAUAUAUGACACAUACACACAUAUUGUAUUGGAGUUAUAUGAAAUAAUACAGAAUAUAACGUUACAAGAUAUAGCACAACAUAUGGCAACUAUAUAUACACACACAUAAGUAUCGUAUACAUACGUUUAAUCAAAAUCAAAAGCUACAUCAAAAAUCGUAAAUCGUAACUCAACGCAACCCAAGGAUUUGCCCAAAUGCUCAACUAUGCUGCCCACGCACUACUUCUACAACAACAACAACAACAAUUGCAGCAAUUCGGUCGUGGCACGAGCACCAAGAUCAUCAUCAGCACAGAUCUAUUAACUUAUUUCUUAUAUGCAGUGAGCUUUACGCAACUUGAUGCCUACAAGUCGGACAAUGACCGCCUGAAGGAGGAGAACGCCGCGUUGAUUAGAGUAAUUAGUAAAUUAAGUAAAUGAAA
rnacentral:misc_RNA from 1 species